CCCCCGCGCCCUGCGCACGUGGGAGGCGUGCGUAGCUCCGCAAGGGUCACAGUGAAUGGCGAGCAAGUUCCAGGCCUCGUCUCGCGCGCGCCCCCAUCCCCUCCCCGUUCUUCCGGCCUUGUCAGGUUGCAUUCUUUCUGUAGAAGACAAAGUCCCAAGGUUCAGCCUCACCUCCCCUGCCCCUCUCACCUCCCCUUCCCCUCUCACCUCCCCCUGUGGCUGCUUGUCCUCACCCCACUUAGGGAGACGCCAACACACAGAGCGCUACACAGCUGCUUAUUCCCACCUCAGUUGUCUACGCCUAGGACAACCUACCCGCCUCACAGGGUGCCAUGUGGCUACCUAGCCCCGCUUCAGUUGUCUCCUUGUAGGGUGACCCCCGUCAUCCCAGAGCAGCACAUGGUUGCUUAUCCCUGCCUCAGUUGUCUACACCGAGGGUGCCAGCCCUCACAAAACACCAGGCGUCUUCUUAACCCCACUUAGUGUCUCUACCGAGGGGAACCUUCCCCGAGGCAUGUUUCGAAGAUACCCUUCACCUUGUCUCCAGGAAAGACUUUAAUCAAGAUGAUGAUGAGUCAAUGAUAAGUGGACUACACUUUGACCAGAAUUUCUUAGGGCAGUUCCGAGUUUUUUGAUGAGAACGGACAGCACCUUGUCCAGCGGGUCCAUCACUCCUCUCUGAAGCCAUUUGGGGAUAGUAGUCCUGGCAUGGUGAAAGCCCAAUUUUUGAAGAAUAUAAUCAACACCUACAGGGUCAAUCUUUCUUCCAGUCCAAGAAAUUAAUCUAAAAUGAUAUGCUGAUACUAGAUCAUGGAGAAACAUGAUGAGCUCAGCAUCCAUGGUCACACAGAUGUGGUCAGUGAACUCUGUCACCACACUGCAUUCUACCUUGGGUUUCAAGUUGGCAUCUGAAACAAUAAAGGUGUUUACAGUGAAAUAAUCCAUGAAGUAAAGGGAACCAAGAUUUACACAGAUCCAUGUAAAUGCAUACACUUGUAAUAUGAAUAUAAAGAUCUGAGAAGUGAGCAACUGCUAUGUGCAUAUGAUUCACAGACUAAUGAUAAUAUAUUAAAACAUUCCUAGAAUGAAUCAUUGUUCAUUAUAAUAAAGUCUAAUUAUUCUUCACAAUA